CCUACGGGCGGCAGCAGUAGGGAAUUUUCGGCAAUGGGGGGAACCCUGACCGAGCAACGCCGCGUGAACGAAGAAGUUAUUCGUAAUGUAAAGUUCUUUUAACAGGGAAGAAAGAGAAAUUUGACGGUACCUGAUGAAUAAGCUCCGGCUAAUUACGUGCCAGCAGCCGCGGUAAUACGUAGGGAGCGAGCGUUAUCUGGAUUUAUUGGGCGAAAGGGGUGCGUAGAUGGCAUAUUAAGGCUUUUGUAAAAAUGCUGGGCUCAACCCAGUAGGGCAAAAGAUACUGCAAAGCUAGAGUAUGACAGACGCAAGUGGAACUACAUGUGUAGCGGUAAAAUGCGUAGAUAUAUGUAAGAACACCAGUGGCGAAGGCAGCUUGCUGGGUCGAUACUGACAUUGAGGCACGAAAGCGUGGGGAGCGAACAGGAUUAGAUACCCGGGUAGUC
rnacentral:rRNA from 1 species